rnacentral:rRNA from 1 species
AGCAGCCGCGGUAAUUCCAGCUCCAAUAGCGUAUAUUAAAGUUGCUGCAGUUAAAAAGCUCGUAGUUGAAUUUCGGGACUAAUAUGUCGGUCGUGCCUCGGUACGUACUGGCUUAUUGGUUUCUCCUUUCUGAAGAACCAUGAUGUCAUUUAUUUGGUGUCGUGGGGAAUCAGGACUGUUACUUUGAAAAAUUAGAGUGUUUAAAGCAGGCUCACGCUUGAAUACAUUAGCAUGGAAUAAUGAAAUAGGACGUUUGAUUCUAUUUUGUUGGUUUCUAGGAUCGACGUAAUGAUUAAUAGGGAUAGUUGGGGGCAUUAGUAUUCAAUUGUCAGAGGUGAAAUUCUUGGAUUUAUUGAAGACUAACUACUGCGAAAGCAUUUGCCAAGGAUGUUUUCAUUAAUCAAGAACGAAAGUUAGGGGAUCGAAGACGAUCAGAUACCGUCGUAGUCUUAACCAUAAACUAUGCCGACUAGGGAUCGGACGAUGUUAAUUUUUAAUGACUCGUUCGGCGCCUUACGGG